rnacentral:rRNA from 1 species
AUGGUUUGGGCAUAUACAACGCAGCCUCCAGAACCUCCAAUGCAUAGCGGACGGUUAAAGUGUGCUGAUAAUGUCAAGAGAGGUCGGGGUAGACCAAACUUGAAAUGGGAGGAGUCCUUAAAGAGAGAUCUGAAGUACUGGAAUAUCACCAAAGAACUAGCCAUGCACAGGGGUGCGUGGAAGUUAGCUAUCCACAUGCCAAAACCAUUAGUUGGUUCAAGAUCUUAUGGGUUUCAGCUCAGGCCUACCCCAACUUGUUUGGGACUAAAGGCUUUGUUGUUGUUGCAGGUCGAAUUAUGCAUACAUUUGGCCUCUGAUUUGUACCAAGUAGUUCAGUUUUCAUGUGUUACUACCGACUACCGUAUUAUGUAG